ACCCUAGAAUCCUCAACGUCUCAGCCACUCCUCUGGCCUUUUGCCACAUUCUUUUUAUCCUUCUAUAAAUACUUUAUUUGUUCAUCCAACCACAAGCAUCCUGAAGGUAGCUUUGGAUUUUAUAUCCCCCAUGAAUCCAUAGCACAUGGUUCUGUACAUAUAGGUAAGCAUUGUAUAAAUGUUUUCUGAAGGAUCCAAGAUAAAUAAGAAUUUCCUUUCUCGUGGAAAAAAGAAGUAUCACUAGCAAAAGUAGGGGGAAGGUGCAUCUUUGAAAAACAAAAGAAGCUGAGUUAAUGAGUUAGAGCAUUCUGAGAUAUGUAUCACUUUGGAAUUAGAGUAGCAGGCUUGGAAAUGAAAAGACUGGGUUCAAAUUUAAGCUUGGCCCAUCACAUGAAGCAGGACAGUGCAACAAACUAAUUAGGUACAUUUGUAGAGUAAGGACAGCACUCAUCUUGCCAACUUCAUAUGGGAAAAUGGAUAUAAGCGGAUUUUAGGGGAUAGAGGUGGCCCGUGCAAUUAUGAUUGCUGCACCAUAAACAGAACUGCAGCUUCUCUGAACUACAGAAGAGCCCCCAUCUGCCCCUUGCUCCACUCUAUCUCUCGCUUUCUACUCUGCACACAUAGUCACAGGAAACUUAUGUAAAGAAGCAGGGUUUUCUUGGAGUAAAGUUCCCAGGUAAAAGGAGCUACCAUUCCUGGUCAAAGUCCCUGGGUUUAACAGAUUUCACUCACUCGCAUUUCCUUGUUACCUGUGGAGAGAGUCUGACAAGACAAGAAAAGCACUAGAUUAAAAAUCACGAGAUGACUUCUAGUCUUAUCUUAGUUCUUUCACUCAUGCCCUGUGACUCCCUUCCUGAGCCCUCAGUUUCCCCAUCUCCAAAAUGAGGUUAGGCCAGAUAAACUCUAAGUUCCCAUCCAUUACUGACAUUCUAAGGAUUCUAGAAAAAACUAGUAACUUUAGUAAUAAGCAAGGCUAUCCAUUCCAAAAUAGUCCUUUGGGUUCCAUCUGACUUUCAACCAUCAGGUUUUCAAAGUUCUAAA